ensembl:lncRNA
CGUAGGGCGAGAUGUUGUUUUGUUGUGACGAUCAGCUGAGUGUGGCAUCGCUGUCCGGUCUGACACCACGAGAAGAAGAAGAAGAAGAAGAAGAGGGGGGAGGAGGAGGAGGAGAAGAAGAAGAAGCGCCUCUCCGGCUCCACACUAAACGUGGGGACGGAGCGCCUCUUUCCAGCGCAUCGCAAUCCAGGAAAUGCGGACUUGUGGCCCUUUCGCUUCGGGAUAAACGGCUGCAGAAGCCGCACCGUGGAGAGCCGUGGCCAGCGUUGUGCAAUCGUUAUUGUUGUAGUGUGAUUGUAAGCUUCUGCGCUGCACACCACAGACUCGGGCCUCGAGGAGAAGAUUGAUUUGGGUGUGGGCCUGAAAAGCCUAAUAAUCUUUGAUGAGACAAGUUCAUCGAGCAGCCUCAAAAUCACACAAAAGGCAUGACAGUAGCUGAAUCAUCUCCACAAUGCACUGCAGCCUUAGUGAAGUAAUCUCAUGUCACAUUUGUCACACUGUCAUGGUGGAUUAACAGUCAAAGACGAAUGGUCAGUGAUGGUGCCGCUCAGCAUGGAUCUCUCUGUUAGGGAAGGUAUCAAUGAAAGUAGAGAAAACUGGUAUUUUAGAGAUUGUGUC